rnacentral:misc_RNA from 1 species
GAGAAACAAAAGAGUGUAAGGAGAUCACAACUUUAACAUUUAGCGAUGGGUUGGUUUGGCAAGCGAAGAUCUGAAAAGAAACAAAACACUUAUCAAACACCUGCCGGAGCAGCAAAUCCUACCCAUAAAACUUAUGGUAGCGAAGAUAAAAAAAGCAAAAUUGGCAGCAAAGGUAACCACGGCAGUGCAGCAGUUAUAGCAUCUGCAGCCGCUGCCAGUGCUGCUGCUUCUAGCAGUGCUAGCGCUUGCAGCGGAGGUGGAGGAUGUUGUUGAGUGAUGUCAUGCAACAAUUCAAUUUCUUCGUUAUAUAUAUAUAAAUGUAUGUUAAUUCCAUUUCAGCUCUUUGAGAGAUUGAGGAUACCAUAUGUCAUCUGUUUACUCGAAUUUCAGAAAAUAAGUGAUUAAAAAUAAAGAGGAUUGUUUGUAAGAAAUAUUUAAUGUUGUAUGUUCUGUUUUUAUGAGAUUUGCUUAGUGU